rnacentral:rRNA from 1 species
AUUGAACGCUGGCGGCAGGCUUAACACAUGCAAGUCGAGCGGGGAAGUAUAGCUUGCUAUACGACCUAGCGGCGGACGGGUGGGUAAUGCUUAGGAAUCUGCCUAGUAGUGGGGGACAACAUUCCGAACGGAGUGCUAAUAACGCAUACGCCGUAGGGGGGCAAGGAGGGGGUCUUCGGACCUUGCGCUAAUAGAUGAGCCUGAGUCAGAUUAGCUGGUUGGUGGGGUACAGGCCUACCAAGGCGACGAUCCGUAGCGGGUCUGAGAGGAUGAUCCGCCACACUGGGACUGAGACACGGCCCAGACUCCUACGGGAGGCAGCAGUGGGGAAUAUUGGACAAUGGGGGGAACCCUGAUCCAGCCAUGCCGCGUGUGUGAAGAAGGCCUUAUGGUUGUAAAGCACUUUAAGCGAGGAGGAGGCUCUUUUGGUUAAUACCCACGAUGAGUGGACGUUACUCGCAGAAUAAGCACCGGCUAACUCUGUGCCAGCAGCCGCCGUAACAC